AUUACAGUAGAGUCUCACUUAUCCAACACUCGCUUAUCCAACGUUCUGGAUUAUCCAACUCAUUUUUGUAGUCAAUGUUUUCAAUAUAUCAUGCUAUUUUGGUGCUAAAUUCAUAAAUACAGUAAUUACUACAUAGCAUUACUGCGUAUUGAACUACUUUUUCUGACAAAUUUGUUUUCUAAUGUGAUGUUUUGGUGCUUCAUUUGUAAAAUCAUAACCUAAUUUGAUGUUUAAUAGGCUUUUCCUUAAUGCCUCCUUAUUAUCCAACAUAUUCGCUUAUCCAACAUUCUGCCGGCCCGUUUAUGUUGGAUAAGUGAGACUCUACUGUAUUAUUAUAAAUGUAAUAGUAGCAACAAUAAUAGAGAAAAAUAAUAAAUGUAAUAAUAUCAAUAAUAAUAGAGAAAAAUAAUGAAUGUACCAUAUAUUCUCGAGUAUAAGCUGACCCAAAUAUAAGCCAACCAGGACCCCACCUGAGUAUAAGCCGAGGGGGGCUUUUUCAGUCUUAAAAAAGGGCUGAAAAACUAGGCUUAUACUUGAGUAUAUACAGUAAAUAUUGUAAGUAAAUAAAGAAAUAAAGCCGCCCCGAAUCGGGCUGAAAAACUAGGCUUAUACUCGAGUAUAUACAGUAAAUAUUGUAAAUAAAGAAAUAAAGCCGCCCCGAAUCGGGCUGAAAAACUAGGAUUAUACUCGAGUAUAUACAGUAAAUAUUGUAAAUAAAGAAAUAAAGCCGCCCCGAAUCGGGCUGAAAAACUAGGAUUAUACUCGAGUAUAUACAGUAAAUAUUGUAAAUAAAGAAAUAAAGCCGCCCCAAAUCGGGCUGAAAAACUAGGAUUAUACUCGAGUAUAUACAGUAAAUAUUGUAAAUAAAUAAAGCCGCCCCGAAUCGGGCUGAAAAACUAGGCUUAUACUCGAGUAUAUACAGUAAAUAUUGUAAGUAAAUAAAGAAAUAAAGCCGCCCCGAAUCCCCUUCGGGAUGAGAAAGUGCGGUCAGUAAAUAAAGUAAACAGCACCCAGCAUCCACAGCAGAAAAAGAGAAGAAAACACAGAACAAACACACGGAGAGCCAAACGUCCAGCAAAGAGACAGUAACAGGUUUUAAUCAGACAAGAGUCAUUACACCCGUUAUAAAGACAAAUAAUACCAUUUGUCUCCUUUUUGGAAAUUCCUUCACAUACCAGCAGGGAAGAACAGGUUUUUAUUUUAUUUCUUUUCUCAGGAAAUUAAAGCAGUGUGUGCAAGCCAGUGCUCCACUUCUGUUGGUUCGACUUCCCCCCUCCCUCCUGUGACUUUAUUUACAUUACAGUACCGCUGUUGUGAGCCGAUAUUUAACCAGGAGGCCGGGAGAGGAGUGCGGUGUGUGUGUCGAGCUCACCGAUGCCCAAGUCAAGAAAGGCAGGUCUGAUUAUUUAUAGAUUUGUACAUUAUACAUACAUACAUAUACACAGAGAUCGAUUGGUGUGUGUUGAUACACAGAGGCGUCGCUCUCUUCUUCUUCAAAGUAUUAAAAAGUCGAUUGGCCUUCGAGCUAUACAAAAAUACCUAACUCUACCAGGUAGAAAAAGAAGAUUUUUUCCCCCCCCUAUCCAAGUAUACAUAGAUUUACACCCAAAAAUUCCUCCGCAAAUAUACAGUACAUGGAUUUUUCUCUUUUUUUUAGCCCUCCGGCUAUUUUGGACUACAACUCCCACAAUUCCGGCUGUUAGGAAUUGUGGGAGUUGCAGUCCAAAAUACCUGAAGUUUGCUCAACGAACAUGCCUGCACUAGAAACAACACUGGAAGAGGCAGAUGGAAAUCCAGGAGAAAGAACGAUAUGCUCAUGUUUGUUUACAAAAUGUAAAUAAAUACUUUCUAGCAGGAAAAUUCUCCUUUGGUGGUGGUAAGGGAAUGGUUGGGAACGGCAUAGCAAGGAUCUGCGUGGCUGUAGUAGUCCGUGAAGCCCAAACGUGGACAAUUUGCAUGAAGGUGGGGCAUUUCAUCCACGAGAUAAAAGAACGGGAAGUUUGUAGAGAGACAGACAGGAGAAGAUCGCUAUUCUUGGGUAGAUCAUCACCACCUUGAACCUGAUUCAUCUACAGAACCUCUCGAGAAACACAACAGAGUAGGACAGCAAAGGUGAUCCGUACAUCUACUAAGACAUUACUUGAAGGUGUUGAAAGUGCUCCAAAAGUUCAGUUGGGAGCCUUCAAAAGAAGUGUCCUCGGCCUCGUUGUUCUUUGUGGCCAACACAAGAUAGAAGAGGGCCACCAAACCUACUAAGACAUUACUUGAAGGUGUUGUAAGUGCUCCACAAGUUCAGUUGGGAGCCUUCAACGCAAGUGUCCUCGGCCUUGUUGCUCUUUGUGGCCAACACAGGACAGGAGAGAGCCAUCAUGUCUACUAAGACAUUACUUGAAGGUGUUGAAAGUGUUGAAAGUGCUCCACAAGUUAGGUUGGGAGCCUUCAAUGGAAGUGUCCUCGGCCUCGUUGCUCUUUGUGGCCAACACAGGACAGGAGAGGGCCAUCACAUCUACUAAGACAUUACUUAGUCCUCGGUCUCAUUGCUCUUGGGGGCCAACACAGGACAGGAGAGGGCCGUUACAUCUACUAAGACAUUACUUGAAGGUGUAUGUGACCGUAGUUGAAAGUGCUCCAUAGAUUCAGUUGAGAGCCUUUAGUGGAAGUGUCCUUAGCCUCGUUGCUCUUUGUGGCCAACACAGGACAGGAGAGGACCAUCACGUCUACUAAGACAUUACUUGAAGGUGUUGAAAGUGCUCCACAAGUUCAGUGGGGAGCCUUCAACGGAAGUGUCCUCGGCCUCGUUGCUCUUUGUGGCCAACACAGGACAGGAGAAGACCACUGUAAUGACAACCUAUGAAGGUAUCAUUCCUACAUCAUAAGUUACGAUAUGGAUACUCUGGUUUUGUUCAGGUUGUGUUUGAAGGAAGAGGAUCAAAAGUCUGGGAGCUGGGGAAAGCGUGAAAAGAUGGUUGGGCAUCGUGGACGUGAAGAAGUCGCUCCUCUGUGUUAUCGUCUGCUCGAUCCAGUUGGAAAUGAUGGAUAUUGCACAUGGUGGACUGAGGAUCAAAUGACAUUAUGAUUGCAAAGAAGAUAUAUUCAAUGCCACCAAUCCCAUCUCUCUAUGAGGACAAGAUGAGUGUGUGGUUCAGGCAGCACUGAAGGCAUUGCUACCUUGUCAUCGAUGCAGCACAAUCGGUUUGUGUCUUUUUACAGGGAGAGAAGAGUGUGUAGAUUCGCGCUGGGCUUUAGAGUGUUUUCCUUCCUCUUUCACAAUAAAGACACCGUGCAGCAUAAAGUUCCGAGUCUCGUCUGUUUGAAAACUUCAAAAUAAACAUGACCUCGAAAACCAAGUCCCAAAAACAAAACAGAAAACAAGAUAAUCUUUAAGUUCAGUAGAAAUUGUGCGCCUUUUAGGUAUUGACAAUAUGGGGGAUGAAAAUGAGUGAGAAACACAACUUUCCCCCCCAAAGUAUCCUAGUGAUAUAUAUGUGAGCAGGAGAGAAUAAGAUCCAACACAACUCUUUAAUUUCUCCCCAAGAUAUGCAAAAACCGUCAUAAAUAUA